GAACGGCAGCACAGAGGAGCUUGCUCCUUGGGUGGCGAGUGGCGGACGGGUGAGUAAUGCAUCGGGACCUACCCAGACGUGGGGGAUAACGUAGGGAAACUUACGCUAAUACCGCAUACGUCCUACGGGAGAAAGCAGGGGACCUUCGGGCCUUGCGCGGUUGGACGGACCGAUGUGCGAUUAGCUAGUUGGUAGGGUAAUGGCCUACCAAGGCGACGAUCGCUAGCUGGUCUGAGAGGAUGAUCAGCCACACUGGGACUGAGACACGGCCCAGACUCCUACGGGAGGCAGCAGUGGGGAAUAUUGGACAAUGGGCGCAAGCCUGAUCCAGCAAUGCCGCGUGUGUGAAGAAGGCCUUCGGGUUGUAAAGCACUUUUAUCAGGAACGAAAUACCACGGGUUAAUACCCUAUGGGGCUGACGGUACCUGAGGAAUAAGCACCGGCUAACUUCGUGCCAGCAGCCGCGGUAAUACGAAGGGUGCAAGCGUUAAUCGGAAUUACUGGGCGUAAAGGGUGCGUAGGCGGUUCGUUAAGUCUGUCGUGAAAUCCCCGGGCUCAACCUGGGAAUG
rnacentral:rRNA from 1 species